rnacentral:tRNA from 1 species
AUCUCUUGGGCUCUGCCGCGCUGGUUCAAAUCCUGCUGGUGUCGU